UACGAGAGGCGCAAACGUUAUUCGGAAUUACUGGGCUUAAAGAGUUCGUAGGCGGCGCAGAAAGUAGGGUGUGAAAGCCCUCGGCUCAACCGAGGAAUUGCGCUCUAAACUACUGUGCUUGAGGAAGCUAGAGGUGAGCAGAACAGAUGGUGGAGCGGUGAAAUGCGUUGAUAUCAUCUGGAAUACCGGAGGCGAAGGCGGGUCUCUGGGCCGUAACUGACGCUGAGGAGCGAAAGCAUGGGGAGCGAACAGG
rnacentral:rRNA from 1 species